UACGUAGGGUGCGAGCGUUAAUCGGAAUUACUGGGCGUAAAGCGUGCGCAGGCGGUUUUGUAAGCCAGAUGUGAAAUCCCCGGGCUUAACCUGGGAACUGCAUUUGUGACUGCACGGCUAGAGUGUGUCAGAGGGGGGUAGAAUUCCACGUGUAGCAGUGAAAUGCGUAGAGAUGUGGAGGAACACCGAUGGCGAAGGCAGCCCCCUGGGUCAAGAUUGACGCUCAUGCACGAAAGCGUGGGGAGCAAACAGG
rnacentral:rRNA from 1 species